UGAGGGAUAUUGGUCAAUGGGGAAACCCUGAACCAGCAACGCCGCGUGAGGGAAGACGGUCUUCGGAUUGUAAACCUUUGUCCUCUGUGAAGAUAGUGACGGUAGCAGAGGAGGAAGCUCCGGCUAACUACGUGCCAGCAGCCGCG
rnacentral:rRNA from 1 species